GGGUGAGUAACGCGUGGGAAUCUACCCAUCUCUACGGAACAACUCCGGGAAACUGGAGCUAAUACCGUAUACGUCCUUUUGGAGAAAGAUUUAUCGGAGAUGGAUGAGCCCGCGUUGGAUUAGCUAGUUGGUGGGGUAAUGGCCUACCAAGGCGACGAUCCAUAGCUGGUCUGAGAGGAUGAUCAGCCACACUGGGACUGGGACACGGCCCAGACUCCUACGGGAGGCAGCAGUGGGGAAUAUUGGACAAUGGGCGCAAGCCUGAUCCAGCCAUGCCGCGUGAGUGAUGAAGGCCCUAGGGUUGUAAAGCUCUUUCAACGGUGAAGAUAAUGACGGUAACCGUAGAAGAAGCCCCGGCUAACUUCGUGCCGGCAGCCGCGGUAAUACGAAGGGGGCUAGCGUUGUUCGGAAUUACUGGGCGUAAAGCGCACGUAGGCGGAUACUUAAGUCAGGGGUGAAAUCCCGGGGCUCAACCCCGGAACUGCCUUUGAUACUGGGUAUCUCGAGUCCGGAAGAGGUGAGUGGAAUUCCGAGUGUAGAGGUGAAAUUCGUAGAUAUUCGGAGGAACACCAGUGGCGAAGGCGGCUCACUGGUCCGGUACUGACGCUGAGGUGCGAAAGCGUGGGGAG
rnacentral:rRNA from 1 species